rnacentral:rRNA from 1 species
CCUACGGGAGGCAGCAGUGAGGAAUAUUGGUCAAUGGGCUUACGCCUGAACCAGCCAAGUCGCGUGAGGGAAGACUGCCCUAUGGGUUGUAAACCUCUUUUGUCAGGGAGCAAUUGGCGCUACGUGUAGCGUUAUCGAGAGUACCUGAAGAAAAAGCAUCGGCUACCUCCGUGCCAGCAGCCGCGGUAAUACGGAGGAUGCGAGCGUUAUCCGGAUUGAUUGGGUUUAAAGGGUGCGUAGGCGGAAUGCGAAGUCAGGGGUAAAAUCGCGGGGCUCAACCUCGCUCCGCCGUUGAAACUGGCGUUCUUGAGUGGGCGAGAAGUAUGCGGAAUGCGUGGUGUAGCGGUGAAAUGCAUAGAUAUCACGCAGAACUCCGAUUGCGAAGGCAGCAUACAGGCGCCCAACUGACGCUGAAGCACGAAAGCGUGGGUAUCGAACAGGAUUAGAUACCCCGGUAGUC